ensembl:misc_RNA Metazoa_SRP Metazoan signal recognition particle RNA
GCCGGGUGUGGUGGCUCACGCCUGUAAUCCCAGCACUUUGGGAGGCCGAGGUGGGUGGAUCACCUGAGGUCGGGAGUUUGAGCCUGACCAACAUGGAGAAACCCCAUCUCUA